UUUUUGCCCAAUAUUUAAUCAUAACAAUCAAGGGCCGAACUCGGGGAUCACAAAGAACGUAAGAGCGCAUCAAACGCGUGUUUAAGGUAGAUAUAGUUUUAUUGAUAUUGCAAUCGCAUGAUAGUUGUAAUUCUGAGUCCCAAACCUUUACAAUUGGCACUUUAGCUGUUGAAAUGCAAACGACCUUUUUAAGUCCGUUCCUAGCAAAGGCAGCUGACACCUCGCAGGUCGUUGGAGCACAUUGAGGCGGAU